UCAUCACCAGAAACGGUCGAGGGAUAGUCGAAGAUGGACAACCGCGCGAGACGAUCACGCUUACACUCAGCUACGACGCGGGUCCGCUGGCGAUCAACCUUCACAACCAGCGCUCGGGACCGACUGCUCAGCGCGAUCAGACCCUGCCCGAAGCGGAUCAGAUCGUCGGUCCAAAAUGGAUCACCGACGUGCGGAUAUCCUUCCAACUGCGUCCUCGCGUGGAGAUAGCGGUCAGUGCGGCAAACCUCUUUGACGUUUACCCUGACGAAUGGCGGGACUUCAAAGACGACUUGAAUUCACAGAGCCUCUCGAUGCAGGGAAUCUCCCGUUACCCUGGGGCUCUGUCGCCGUUCGGGAUGAGCGGGCGCAUGCUUUACCUACGGCUG
rnacentral:misc_RNA from 1 species